GCCUAACACAUGCAAGUCGAACGGAAAGGCCCUUUCGGGGGUACUCGAGUGGCGAACGGGUGAGUAACACGUGGGUGAUCUGCCCUGCACUUUGGGAUAAGCCUGGGAAACUGGGUCUAAUACCGAAUAGGACCGCAUGCUUCAUGGUGUGUGGUGGAAAGCUUUUGCGGUGUGGGAUGGGCCCGCGGCCUAUCAGCUUGUUGGUGGGGUAAUGGCCUACCAAGGCGACGACGGGUAGCCGGCCUGAGAGGGUGUCCGGCCACACUGGGACUGAGAUACGGCCCAGACUCCUACGGGAGGCAGCAGUGGGGAAUAUUGCACAAUGGGCGCAAGCCUGAUGCAGCGACGCCGCGUGGGGGAUGACGGCCUUCGGGUUGUAAACCUCUUUCAGUAUCGGCGAAGCUCCGGGGUUUUCCUUGGGGUGACGGUAGGUACAGAAGAAGCACCGGCCAACUACGUGCCAGCAG
rnacentral:rRNA from 1 species